GUCUACGGCCAUACCACCCUGAACGCGCCCGAUCUCGUCUGAUCUCAGAAGCUAAGCAGGGUCGGGCCUGGUUAGUACUUGGAUGGGAGAAAGUAUUAACAAAAUCACUAAAGCUA
rnacentral:rRNA from 1 species